UCAUUUUUUCAUGAAAGAAUAUGAAAAUUAUUUUGAAACAUAUAAAUAGGGGGUGUAACAUGAUGCAGAGAAGUGGAUUGCAUUUGAUCAAGCCUUCAACAAGGGUUAUACAUCGAAAGGUGCAAUUCAUUUUUUUCAUAAAAGAAUAUGAAAAUUUUGCACCAAUUAAAUUUUUUGCAUGAUGUUAGUAGAAACCUUGGUUUGGUGACUUUUAACAAUUGUUUGUCUUGUACAUGUAUUGAUCGGUAUUUGGGUUAUGAUACUGUAUGGUAAUUGGUAGUUUGUUUGAUUAGGUUUGCUUAUUGUUGUUAAUAACUAUUUUAAAUAUUUUAAUCCUAAAUUUGGAAAUAAUUCAAGAUAACAACGGUGAAGAUGUUGAUUGUGAUAAUGUUGGAGCUACCCAAUUCUACAUGUUUGCUUUUUUGUGUUGGAUGCGCAAGUGCGUUACAAUAAUCAAAGGCUGACUUUUUCAGGUAUGGCAUACUUUUCUUUUUGAUAACAUAUUAUAGAUCUAUUCUAUUUUAAAUAAAACUUAUCUUACAAUGUUUGCAAUUGUUAGAUAUAUGGGUUUUGUUCUUACACAUAUGUCUGUUAAAAUUAUUGAGUCAUAUUUUAGAGUUUUGCUUAUGUACUCUGAUUCAACAAUUUUAGUGUAUGCUCUUUGAAAGAUUUUUAUAUUUAUACUAAUUAGAAGUUGAUGAUUUCAUCAGUGAUUUAAUCUUGCAAUCCAAGGCAAUGUCGAUCCAUAGAUACAUAAUAUUCUUUAUGGAAUUGUUAUGCUACAGGUUUGCUUAUUUAUCUUGGAUGCGCAUAAUGGUUACAAUGUCUUACAAUAAUUAAUGGUGCUUAUAAAAGUGGUGUUUUUAUGCAUGUAUUGUUAUUCAAUAGCCAUCUGUCAUGACAAAAACACCAAAAACCCUUUCCUUUUUACUUCUUUUUGGACCUCUUUCUUUAGGUAUGUGUUACUUUUCUUUUGGAUAAGCUAUUAUAGAUCUAUUCAGUUUCAUCUAUUUCAAACGAUAAUGAUCGUUCAAUAUCCUUUUAGAUCUAUCAUGUCUUAUAAUUUCAAUUGAUAGUUAUCUAUUAUAUCAUGUGUAUCAAUGUGGUUCCUAAUAAGUUGAAUUCUCCAUUUCUUCAUGUACAUUUCAGGUGUGUACAACAAAUUAAUAAAGGCAGCGUUGCAGAUGUAAGUCCGAAGAUUUCAAAGAUAGCCAGGUUUUGUUAUAUAGUGUGAAAAUGUUUCCAAUAAGAAUUUAUAAUUCAAAUGUGUUCUACAUAUUUUUAAGAGUGGUUUUUAUAUGCAUGUAUUGGUUGACUUCUGAAAAAAAAUAUUUUAUUUUAAGGACUGAGUAUUACUAAAAUCGAUUGAAACAUGGAGUUCAUUUUGAUUGUGACAGAGUUGGAUAUACUUAGUCAUGGGGUUCACGGAGGGUGUUUGGGAGGAGUGGUGGCACAGGGCACCAUCUUUU
rnacentral:lncRNA from 1 species